CCGGCGAUUUCCGAAUGGGGAAACCCAGUGUGAUUCGUCACACUAUCAUUAACUGAAUCCAUAGGUUAAUGAGGCGAACCGGGGGAACUGAAACAUCUAAGUACCCCGAGGAAAAGAAAUCAACCGAGAUUCCCCCAGUAGCGGCGAGCGAACGGGGAGGAGCCCAGAGCCUGAAUCAGUGUGUGUGUUAGUGGAAGCGUCUGGAAAGGCGCGCGAUACAGGGUGACAGCCCCGUACACAAAAAUGCACAUGCUGUGAGCUCGAUGAGUAGGGCGGGACACGUGGUAUCCUGUCUGAAUAUGGGGGGACCAUCCUCCAAGGCUAAAUACUCCUGACUGACCGAUAGUGAACCAGUACCGUGAGGGAAAGGCGAAAAGAACCCCGGCGAGGGGAGUGAAAAAGAACCUGAAACCGUGUACGUACAAGCAGUGGGAGCCUCUUAAUGGGGUGACUGCGUACCUUUUGUAUAAUGGGUCAGCGACUUAUAUUCUGUAGCAAGGUUAACCGAAUAGGGGAGCCGAAGGGAAACCGAGUCUUAACUGGGCGUUAAGUUGCAGGGUAUAGACCCGAAACCCGGUGAUCUAGCCAUGGGCAGGUUGAAGGUUGGGUAACACUAACUGGAGGACCGAACCGACUAAUGUUGAAAAAUUAGCGGAUGACUUGUGGCUGGGGGUGAAAGGCCAAUCAAACCGGGAGAUAGCUGGUUCUCCCCGAAAGCUAUUUAGGUAGCGCCUCGUGAAUUCAUCUCCGGGGGUAGAGCACUGUUUCGGCAAGGGGGUCAUCCCGACUUACCAACCCGAUGCAAACUGCGAAUACCGGAGAAUGUUAUCACGGGAGACACACGGCGGGUGCUAACGUCCGUCGUGAAGAGGGAAACAACCCAGACCGCCAGCUAAGGUCCCAAAGUCAUGGUUAAGUGGGAAACGAUGUGGGAAGGCCCAGACAGCCAGGAUGUUGGCUUAGAAGCAGCCAUCAUUUAAAGAAAGCGUAAUAGCUCACUGGUCGAGUCGGCCUGCGCGGAAGAUGUAACGGGGCUAAACCAUGCACCGAAGCUGCGGCAGCGACACUAUGUGUUGUUGGGUAGGGGAGCGUUCUGUAAGCCUGUGAAGGUGGCCUGUGAGGGUUGCUGGAGGUAUCAGAAGUGCGAAUGCUGACAUAAGUAACGAUAAAGCGGGUGAAAAGCCCGCUCGCCGGAAGACCAAGGGUUCCUGUCCAACGUUAAUCGGGGCAGGGUGAGUCGACCCCUAAGGCGAGGCCGAAAGGCGUAGUCGAUGGGAAACAGGUUAAUAUUCCUGUACUUGGUGUUACUGCGAAGGGGGGACGGAGAAGGCUAUGUUGGCCGGGCGACGGUUGUCCCGGUUUAAGCGUGUAGGCUGGUUUUCCAGGCAAAUCCGGAAAACCAAGGCUGAGGCGUGAUGACGAGGCACUACGGUGCUGAAGUGACAAAUGCCCUGCUUCCAGGAAAAGCCUCUAAGCAUCAGGUAACAUCAAAUCGUACCCCAAACCGACACAGGUGGUCAGGUAGAGAAUACCAAGGCGCUUGAGAGAACUCGGGUGAAGGAACUAGGCAAAAUGGUGCCGUAACUUCGGGAGAAGGCACGCUGAUAUGUAGGUGAAGCGACUUGCUCGUGGAGCUGAAAUCAGUCGAAGAUACCAGCUGGCUGCAACUGUUUAUUAAAAACACAGCACUGUGCAAACACGAAAGUGGACGUAUACGGUGUGACGCCUGCCCGGUGCCGGAAGGUUAAUUGAUGGGGUUAGCGGUAACGCGAAGCUCUUGAUCGAAGCCCCGGUAAACGGCGGCCGUAACUAUAACGGUCCUAAGGUAGCGAAAUUCCUUGUCGGGUAAGUUCCGACCUGCACGAAUGGCGUAAUGAUGGCCAGGCUGUCUCCACCCGAGACUCAGUGAAAUUGAACUCGCUGUGAAGAUGCAGUGUACCCGCGGCAAGACGGAAAGACCCCGUGAACCUUUACUAUAGCUUGACACUGAACAUUGAGCCUUGAUGUGUAGGAUAGGUGGGAGGCUUUGAAGUGUGGACGCCAGUCUGCAUGGAGCCGACCUUGAAAUACCACCCUUUAAUGUUUGAUGUUCUAACGUUGGCCCCUAAUCGGGGUUGCGGACAGUGUCUGGUGGGUAGUUUGACUGGGGCGGUCUCCUCCUAAAGAGUAACGGAGGAGCACGAAGGUUGGCUAAUCCUGGUCGGACAUCAGGAGGUUAGUGCAAUGGCAUAAGCCAGCUUGACUGCGAGCGUGACGGCGCGAGCAGGUGCGAAAGCAGGUCAUAGUGAUCCGGUGGUUCUGAAUGGAAGGGCCAUCGCUCAACGGAUAAAAGGUACUCCGGGGAUAACAGGCUGAUACCGCCCAAGAGUUCAUAUCGACGGCGGUGUUUGGCACCUCGAUGUCGGCUCAUCACAUCCUGGGGCUGAAGUAGGUCCCAAGGGUAUGGCUGUUCGCCAUUUAAAGUGGUACGCGAGCUGGGUUUAGAACGUCGUGAGACAGUUCGGUCCCUAUCUGCCGUGGGCGCUGGAGAACUGAGGGGGGCUGCUCCUAGUACGAGAGGACCGGAGUGGACGCAUCACUGGUGUUCGGGUUGUCAUGCCAAUGGCACUGCCCGGUAGCUAAAUGCGGAAGAGAUAAGUGCUGAAAGCAUCUAAGCACGAAACUUGCCCCGAGAUGAGUUCUCCCUGAGACUUAGAGUCUCCUGAAGGAACGUUGAAGACGACGACGUUGAUAGGCCGGGUGUGUAAGCGCAGCGAUGCGUUGAGCUAACCGGUACUAAUGAACCGUGAGGCUUAACCUU
rnacentral:rRNA from 1 species